rnacentral:rRNA from 1 species
UAAACUAGGAUUAGAUACCCUAUUAUUCUAAUUAAAAUAAUAUAUAUUAGAAAUUAAAUGUAUAAUCAUUAAAUUUAAAUAAUUUGGCGGUAUUUUAAUUAGUCAGAGGAAUUUGUCGAGUAAGUGAUAGUCCACGUUAGGUUGAUCCUAGUGAAGUUUUUAUGUAUUGUUGUUUGAAUAUUAAUUUAGGAGAAUUUAAUAGAAAUUUAGUAUUGUAGAAGAAUUCAAAUCAAAGUGUAGAAUUAUUAGGGUUAGAUGAAUUACAAUUUAAUUUAUUAUCGGAGUUAAAUUUUUAAAUAAAUUAAUGAAGAAGGAUUUGAAGGUAAAUUUAUAUGAAUUAUGUAAGUUGAAAUGAUCUUUAAAAUAUGUACAAAUUGCCGGUCAUU